CCCUUAGAUGUUCUGGGCCGCACGCGCGCUACACUGAUGCAUUCAACGAGUCUAAAACCUGCUCUGAUAGGGGUGGGUAAUCUUUUGAAUGUGCAUCGUGAUUGGGAUAGAUGAUUGCAAUUUUUCAUCUUCAACGAGGAAUGCCUAGUAAACGCAAGUCAUUAGCUUGCAUUGAUUACGUCCCUGCCCUUUGUACACACCGCCCGUCGCUCCUACCGAUUGAAUGAUCCGAUGAAUAUCAUGGAUUGAGGAUGCAAGCAGGUUCGCCUGUCUUCAUCUUCGAGAAGUGAAGUAAAUCUUAUCAUUUAGAGGAAGGAGAAGUCGUAACA
rnacentral:rRNA from 1 species